rnacentral:misc_RNA from 1 species
CCCUGAUGCUCUCAAGGUGUUGAGACUCCAAUCAGGACAUAAAUACUGUCUCUUGGGUAAGCUUUCAUCAGAGGUUGGAUGGAACCACUAUGACACUAUCAAGGAGCUUGAGAACAAGAGAAAGGAGAGAGCUCAGGUAGCAUACGAGAGGAGAAAGCAGUUGGCCAAACUCAGGGUUAAGGCCGAGAAGGCUGCUGAGGAGAAGCUCGGUCCUCAACUUGCAGUUAUUGAACCUAUCAAGUAUUAGAGUGUAAACGUAGUUUUUAUUGAAGAUGAAAUUUUGCUUGAGAUUGAGAUUUCAACUUAAUCUAUCUUUUAAAGAUGCUACCUGUACUGCAUGGUCCAGUUUUUGCUUCUAGUAAUAUUCGAGCAGACUACAUUGUUUAACUAUCUUUCGAAGUUAUUUAUUUUAUGGUUUUAUUGACA